AAAGUCGUAACAAGGUCUCCGUUGGUGAACCAGCGGAGGGAUCAUUACCGAGUGUAACUACUCACCAACCCAUGUGAACAUACCUUCUGUUGCUUCGGCAGGUUCGCCCCGGGCGCUCUUCACGCGUGCCCCGGAACCAGGCGCCUGCCGGGGGAUUGAAAUUCUGUCUUUUAUAGAGGAUUAUCUGAGUGGCUCUUGAGCAAAUAAUCAAAACUUUCAACAAUGGAUCUCUUGGUUCUG
rnacentral:misc_RNA from 1 species